AUUGAACGCUGGCGGAAUGCUUUACACAUGCAAGUCGAACGGCAGCACGGACUUCGGUCUGGUGGCGAGUGGCGAACGGGUGAGUAAUGUAUCGGAACGUGCCCAGUCGUGGGGGAUAACGUAGUGAAAAUUACGCUAAUACCGCAUACGAUCUAUGGAUGAAAGCGGGGGAUCGCAAGACCUCGCGCGAUUGGAGCGGCCGAUAUCAGAUUAGGUAGUUGGUGGGGUAAAGGCCCACCAAGCCAACGAUCUGUAGAUGGUCUGAGAGGACGACCAGCCACACGGGAACUGAGACACGGUACAGACUCCAACGGGAGGCAGCAGUGGGGAAUUUUGGACAAUGGGCGAAAGCCUGAUCCAGCCAUUCCGAGUGCAGGAUGACGGCCCUCGGGUUGUAAACUGCUUUUGUACAGAACGAAAAGGUUUCUACUAAUACUAGGAGCUCAUGACGGUACUGUAAGAAUAAGCACCGGCUAACAACGUGCCAGCCGCCGCCGUAA
rnacentral:rRNA from 1 species